CUCUGGCGCACUUUUUGAGUGGAAACAUUUCAAACUCUUAUCUAGAGCACACGAACUAAAUCUAGUAUCUGAAUAAAAUAGUAAAAAAAUAUGUAAGUUUAGUCCUUGAAGUGCGGUUGAAAUAAUCAGUUCAACAACUAAUUAAUUUAAAGCGUUCUUUAGUCUCUUCAACAAUUCCAAGGAGAUUCCACCAUGAAGCUGGUUCUGUUUCUAAGUCUUCUCAUUGUGUGCCACUCUUUGAGCGAAGCGAUUGAUUGCCUUCAGGGCACAGAAAACUGCUUAAAUAACCCAACGACAUCCAAUGUUUAUCAAGAGAAUUACUGCUGUGAGUCAGUCAGUCACAAACCAUUUGUUUAUACAGGAUACUUAGCAGAAAGACAAUACGUGCGCUGCGUUUGUUUUUGACCUGAAGAAAACAUGAUAUUGAUAACCAGGUCGCUGUUUAUUGUGUUAUAAAGGAAAAUGCCUAAUAAAAGUAUCUGUUUGGUGUGUUUGAUGUG